rfam:Triticum urartu cultivar G1812 contig233765, whole genome shotgun sequence.
CAUCUACUCCCUCCGUUCCAAAUUACUCGUCGCGGAAAUGGAUGUAUCUAGACCUAAAAUACAUCUAGAUACAUCCAUUUCUUCGACGAGUAAUUCGGAAAGGAGGGAGUAGCUA